UACGGAGGAUCCAAGCGUUAUCCGGAUUUAUGGGUUUAAAGGGUGCGUAGGUGGCUUUUUAAGUCAGGGGUGAAAGACGGUAGCUUAACUAUCGCAGUGCCUUUGAUACUGAAGAGCUUGAAUAAACUAGAGGUAGGCGGAAUGUGACAAGUAGCGGUGAAAUGCAUAGAUAUGUCACAGAACACCAAUUGCGAAGGCAGCUUACUAUGGUUUUAUUGACACUGAGGCACGAAAGCGUGGGGAUCAAACAGG
rnacentral:rRNA from 1 species